UACGAAGGGGGCUAGCGUUGCUCGGAAUUACUGGGCGUAAAGCGCACGUAGGCGGCUCUUUAAGUCGGGGGUGAAAUCCUGGAGCUCAACUCCAGAACUGCCUUCGAUACUGUAGAGCUUGAGUUCGGGAGAGGUGAGUGGAACUGCGAGUGUAGAGGUGAAAUUCGUAGAUAUUCGCAAGAACACCAGUGGCGAAGGCGGCUCACUGGCCCGAUACUGACGCUGAGGCACGAAAGCGUGGGGAGCAAACAGG
rnacentral:rRNA from 1 species